GGGAUAUGAUGUACAAAGGUAGUACGAUUUGAUUGCAGAUCUUAUUUAAGAGGUUCGAUUCCUCCAUAUCCCUC
rnacentral:tRNA from 1 species